rnacentral:misc_RNA from 1 species
GCAACAACUCGCAAGAUUUAUAUAGGUUCAGUUUGUACAAAAUUACAUAUAAAUGACAUAAUAUAUACGUCAAAAAGCUUUUCAGCUACCAACAUCUAUGAGAUACAAAUGGCUACAGCUAUCUUUUUUUCUUGCCAGUUCCAUCAUCUCCAAUAAUUAUCAGCAAGGCAAGCCAAUUUCCUGCAUGUUUCCAUUAUCCGACUCUGUAUUUCUUCUGUUUAUUAACAAUAAACAAAUUCCGAUUUGUUAAGGAGGGUGCUGCAGUCAUAUGUAGAGUUUCAAGCAUACUGGACCGUACAGCAGCUAAAGCAAACUUCUCUCAACAGUAGGCAGUAGCAAGAGACUAAGACCCUAUGGAUUGAGGAGCAAACUGAAAGAAGCACAGAAAGCAAGGAGAUAUUCAUCCAGCACCUCCAUUAAAAGCUUAACUCUCAAGGACAACAUCAGCAGGAUCUCCAAUCCAUGGCCGGCCUUCUCUCCACUGAAACUUAAUCCUUAGCU